GACGAACGCUGGCGGCGUGCUUAACACAUGCAAGUCGAACGGAAAGGCCCUGCUUUUGUGGGGUGCUCGAGUGGCGAACGGGUGAGUAACACGUGAGUAACCUGCCCUUGACUUUGGGAUAACUUCAGGAAACUGGGGCUCAUACCGGAUAGGAGCUCCUGCUGCAUGGUGGGGGUUGGAAAGUUUCGGCGGUUGGGGAUGGACUCGCGGCUUAUCAGCUUGUUGGUGGGGUAGGGGCUUACCAAGGCUUUGACGGGUAGCCGGCCUGAGAGGGUGACCGGCCACCUUGGGACUGAGAUACGGCCCAGAAUCCUACGGGAGGCAGCAGUGGAGAAUAUUGCACAAUGGGCGGAAGCCUGAUGCAGCGACGCCGCGUGCGGGAAGACGGCCUUCGGGUUGUAAACCGCUUUCGCCUGUGACGAAGCGUGAGUGACGGUAAUGGGUAAAGAAGCACCGGCUAACUACGUG
rnacentral:rRNA from 1 species